UACGAAGGGGGCUAGCGUUGCUCGGAAUCACUGGCGUAAAGGGUGCGUAGGCGGGUUUUUAAGUCAGAGGUGAAAUCCUGGAGCUCAACUCCAGAACUGCCUUUGAUACUGAAAGUCUUGAGUAUGGGAGAGGUGAGUGGAACUGCGAGUGUAGAGGUGAAAUUCGUAGAUAUUCGCAAGAACACCAGUGGCGAAGGCGGCUCACUGGCCCAUUACUGACGCUGAGGCACGAAAGCGUGGGGAGCAAACAGGG
rnacentral:rRNA from 1 species